AAACCAGAAACAGGUGAAGAGGGAAAACGGGACCAUCUGCUUUGGACAGCUUUUGCAUUAAGUGCUAUUUUAGGCUGUGGUCAAAAACGUUUGGAGGAUGUCUGGUGCUAGACAACACAGAGUAAGCCCACCGCAACCUCUCUCUGCCACUAAUUACAACUGAAAAUUCUGGACAAAAUAUAACUACUUAAGAGCUCGGAAAAGUAAACAAGCAGGCAAAUUAGGGAAAGGAGUCAAAGCUUGAAGAAGCUAUCUGUAUGGGCUGGAGUGCUAGUUGUCAUCUUGACCAUGAAGAUCCAGAAAAGGAGUCCAGG
rnacentral:lncRNA from 1 species